GUGAGGGGGUGACUAGUGACAGAGUGAGGGGGUGACUAGUGACACAGUGAGGGAGGGGGUGACUAGUGACAGAAGGAGGGAGGGAGUAGUGACAGAGGGAGGUGGUGACUAGUGACAGAGUGAGGGAGGGAAGGGUGUGACUAGUGACAGUCACCACCUCCUUCACUCUGUCACUAGCCACCCCCUCCCUCACUCUGUCACUGUGUCACCCCCUUCCUCACUCUGUCACUAGUCACCCUCUCUCUCACUCUGUCACUAGUCACCCCGUCCCUCAC